GUUCCCAGUGGCUUCCACUUUGUUAUAAUGACACUAACAGUUGACUGUAGAAUAUUUAGCAGGAAGGAAAUUUCAUGACUGGACUUGUUGCACAGGUGGCAUCCUAUCACGGUACUAUGCUGGAAUUCACUGAGCUCCUGAGAGCGACCCAUUUCACAAAUGUUUGUAGAAGCAACCUGUAUGCCUAGGUGCUUCAUUUUAUACUCCUGUGGCCAUGGAAGUGAUUGGAACACCUGAAUUCAAUGAUUUAGAUGGGUGAGUAAAUAGUUUUGGCAAUAUAGUCAGUCUCUGUGUAAGCUUUCAAUCAGCCAAGUUCAAGUGCUUACCAUGACUGGUAGGCACUGAAUUGAACGCAACUGGACUUUUUUCCUAUGUUGUUUUUCACUUUUCAUCUGAGAAGCUCAUACAGUUCUAAUGGGGAGUACUAGGUAUAUAGUGAGGUGGUCCAUGUGAGCCAGGUGACCUUGAUAACUCAGAUGAUGACAGAGAUUGUCCAACUCUUCAGAACACCUGGUUCUCCCAUCAGAUUCUCAGGUGAAAGCUGAAAUGUUUUUAUGAAUGUAGAAAGAAGUCCAGUUGGCUUGGACUCAUGUCGAGCUCAUUUCUUCACACAGUGGGCUAAACUGAAGCCAAGCUGCUUGAAAGAGAUCGAAUUCCCAGGUAAAACAUUGCUGCUAGGAGGACUUUAAAAAUGUAAGGACAUUUGUCCUGUAAAGCCUUUAUAAGUAGAAAUCUACCAAAAAAAAAUGUCAAAGCUUAAUUUUGAUCUCAACUACACACUUAUAAUUUUGUGUAAGCUUUUGAUACAUUGGCAAAAUGUGUCCAUGGACACACAGAUAUGUUCCACAAGUACACCAAACUACUUUUUUUUGUCAUUUCUAAUACUAAUACAUAUCUGCAGGUCAUCACCAAAUUUUGCCCUGAUGAUGCAAACGAACACACACAGACUUAAGCACACUGCAAACAUACUGAGAAAGAGCAUGGAGGGCACAGAUUUAAAAAUAAAGCAGUGGUGUAACUAAUAGCAGU
rnacentral:lncRNA from 1 species